GAAAAUAAAUUUCCAACGUCUAACACACAUCGUUUACGGCAUGGACUACGAGGGUAUCUAAUCCUCUUCGCUACCCAUGCUUUCGUUCCUCAGUGUCAGUAAUGAUCCAGAAAGCUGCCUUCGCAAUUGGUAUUCUUUCUAAUAUCUACGAAUUUCACCUCUACACUAGAAAUUCUGCUUUCCUCUAUCAUACUCUAGCUGAAAAGUUUUGAUGGCAGUUCCAGAGUUAAGCUCUGGGAUUUCACCACCAACCUUUUCAACCACCUACGAACUCUUUAAGCCCAGUAAUUCCGAACUACGCUAGGUCCCUUCGUAUUACCGCGGCUGCUGGCACGAAGUUAGCCGGACCUUCUUAUUCGGGUACAGUCAUUUUCUUCCCCGACGAAAGAGCUUUACAACCCAAAGGCCUUCUUCACUCACGCGGCAUCGCUGCAUCAGGGUUUCCCCCAUUGUGCAAGAUUCCCCACUGCUGCCUCCCGUAGGAGUUUGGGCCGUGUCUCAGUCCCAAUGUGGCUGGUCUUCCUCUAAGAACAGCUAUUGAUCGUAGCCUUGGUAAGCUAUUACCUUACCAACUAGCUAAUCAAGUGCGGGCUCAUCUUUUGGCAUUAAAACUUUCCCUGUAAAGGCUUAUCCGGUAUUAGCACAAGUUUCCUCGUGUUAUUCCGAACCAAAAGGCAGAUUCCCACAUUAUACUCACCCGUUUGCCACUCAGUAUUGCUACUGCGUUCGACUUGCAUGUGUUAGGCGUGCCGCCAGCGUACGUUCUGAGCCAGGAUCAAACUCU
rnacentral:rRNA from 1 species